rnacentral:rRNA from 1 species
CAAUGGGCGAAAGCCUGACGGAGCAAUACCGCGUGAGGGAGGAAGGCUCUUGGGUUGUAAACCUCUUUUCUCAGGGAAGAACACAAUGACGGUACCUGAGGAAUCAGCAUCGGCUAACUCCGUGCCAGCAGCCGCGGUAAUACGGAGGAUGCAAGCGUUAUCCGGAAUGAUUGGGCGUAAAGCGUCCGCAGGUGGCUGUGUAAGUCUGCUGUCAAAGAGCAAAGCUUAACUUUGUAAAGGCAGUGGAAACUACACGGCUAGAGUGCGUUCGGGGCAGAGGGAAUUCCUGGUGUAGCGGUGAAAUGCGUAGAGAUCAGGAAGAACACCGGUGGCG